CGAAAGCCUGACGGAGCAACGCCGCGUGGGGGAAGAAGGUUCUUGGAUUGUAAACCCCUUUUCUCAGGGAAGAAGUUCUGACGGUACCUGAGGAAUCAGCCUCGGCUAACUCCGUGCCAGCAGCCGCGGUAAUACGGAGGAGGCAAGCGUUAUCCGGAAUUACUGGGCGUAAAGCGUCCGUAGGGGGCUCGUCAAGUCUGCUGUCAAAGCUCGGAGCUCAACUCCGGUUCGGCAGUGGAAACUGGUGGGCUAGAGGGCGACAGGGGUAGAGGGAAUUCCCAGUGUAGCGGUGAAAUGCGUAGAGAUUGGGAAGAACACCGGUGGCGAAAGCGCUCUACUGGGUCGCACCUGACCCUCAGGGACGAAAGCUAAGGUAGCG
rnacentral:rRNA from 1 species